rnacentral:rRNA from 1 species
AUGCCAGAAAUUCCUAUUCCACCUAUCAUUGCACUUAUGUACAUGUUGUUCGCAUGCGCCGACUCGCGUGUGUGCCCAUCAGUCACCCUGGGCCUGGAACCUGGCGAGGCCUUCACCGUUCGCAACAUCGGUGCCAUGGUCCCAUGCUACUGCAAGAACAAGCACACCGGUGUUGGAUCAGCCAUCGAAUAUGCCGUCUGCGCCCUCAAGGUUAAGGUCAUCGUGGUGAUUGGCCAUAGCCGCUGUGGUGGUAUCAAGGCCCUCCUCUCGCUCAAGGAUGGGGAAGACGACUCCUUGUAA